rnacentral:rRNA from 1 species
GACGGAGGGGGCUAGCGUUGUUCGGAAUGACUGGGCGUAAAGGGCGCGUAGGCGGUAUUUUAAGUGAGACGUGAAAGCCCCGGGCUUAACCCGGGAGGUGCGUUUCAUACUGAAAUGCUAGAGUGCGAGAGAGGAAAGUGGAAUUCCUAGUGUAGAGGUGAAAUUCGUAGAUAUUAGGAAGAACACCAGAGGCGAAGGCGGCUUUCUGGCUCGCAACUGACGCUGAGGCGCGAAAGCGUGGGGAGCAAACAGG